rnacentral:lncRNA from 1 species
UCGAGAAUGAGCGUCACUAGCAGAGAACGUCAGUCAAGUCUACGCUAUGGUGGAUCGAUGGAUCGAUCAAUAAGAAUAAAAUGGCAGGAGUAUGCAGCAGGUGGUACCAGUUACUCGUGGUUACGGUCCUGAUCCAGUCCAGGCUGCCGGGAGGCCUUUCAACUCGAUUCGUGUAUACCCUGUACACAGUAUCCGACAAGGUGUGGUUCUAGACGCGUCGAACGACGCGCGUUUACAAUUCACCGUGGGACAUUAAUUAAUUAUCCUGCGUGUUAAUUCAAAAACUUAACGACGAUAUUUUUCGAUUUCAAUACGAUAUAUAUAAAUCGAUAAUCGAAGUAUUAUCGAGAAUUAAAAUAAAAUGGAAAUAUCGUUGUAGAGAGUUACAAAAAAAAGACGUUUACGUAUGUAAGAAUAGACAUUCUGUUUUUUUUUUUUUAAUCUGAGGAGGGAAGAAGAAGAA